rnacentral:rRNA from 1 species
UCAGAACGAACGCUGGCGGCGUGCUUAACACAUGCAAGUCGAACGCGAACGUUUCUUCGGGAAACUAGUAGAGUGGCGCACGGGUGAGUAACGCGUAAGUAAUCUACCCUCGCAUUUGGGAUAACCCACCGAAAGGUGUGCUAAUACCGGAUACGUCUACAAUUAUACUUUGUUUGUAGAGAAAGGUGGCCUCUGAUUUAAGCUACUGUGCGGGGAGGAGCUUGCGUACCAUUAGCUAGUUGGUAGGGUAAUGGCCUACCAAGGCAAUGAUGGUUAGCGGGUCUGAGAGGAUGAUCCGCCACACUGGAACUGGAACACGGACCAGACUCCUACGGGAGGCAGCAGUGAGGAAUAUUGCGCAAUGGGGGAAACCCUGACGCAGCGACGCCGCGUGGAUGAUGAAGGCUUCGGGUUUAAAAUCCUGUCAGAUGGAAGAAAUGCACUAUGUCUAAUAUAUGUAGUGUUUGACGGUACCAUUAAAGGAAGCACCGGCUAACUCCGUGCCAGCAGCCGCGGUAAUACGGAGGGUGCAAGCGUUGUUCGGAAUUACUGGGCGUAAAGCGCGCGUAGGCGGCUAUAUAAGUCAGGUGUGAAAGUCCACGGCUCAACCGUGGAAGUGCAUUUGAAACUGUGUAGCUUGAGUACUGGAGGGGGUAGUGGAAUUCCCGGUGUAGAGGUGAAAUUCGUAGAUAUCGGGAGGAAUACCGGUGGCGAAGCGACUACCUGGCCAGAUACUGAGCGCUGA